CAGUCGCCGCGGUAAAACAGAGGGUGCAAGCGUUAAUCGGAAUUACUGGGCGUAAAGCGCGCGUAGGUGGUUUGUUAAGUUGGAUGUGAAAGCCCCGGGCUCAACCUGGGAACUGCAUCCAAAACUGGCAAGCUAGAGUACGGUAGAGGGUGGUGGAAUUUCCUGUGUAGCGGUGAAAUGCGUAGAUAUAGGAAGGAACACCAGUGGCGAAGGCGACCACCUGGACUGAUACUGACACUGAGGUGCGAAAGCGUGGGGAGCAAACAGGAUUAGAGACCCCGGUAGUCCCUGUCUCUUAUAC
rnacentral:rRNA from 1 species